AGGCUCCUAGUGGCGCGCCGUGCUUUGAGUUCAGGUUUGGCUUAUCAGAGGGACUCACUUCAAACUGUGGAUGUAAACAGACUAACCGUCUUCCAUUACGCGCGUCACGAGUCAGCCGGAUGUAGCACUUUAACCUGAUCAUUAAUGUCUCUUAGUAAUUAACGUCCCGCCUGAUGCAGACCUAAAGUUUACAUUUGAUUCACUGUCAGCAGAGACUCAGCACAGGACCACACACACACACCGGCUGUUCCACCCUCUGUGUUUCCACUCAGGCUCACCGGUGGAUCAGAUGAUGGUUCAUUUCACUCUGCUCUUUGUGUCAUUGUGGAAUCAGACGCAUCAUUUCAAGGCCAACAGCGCCCCUCUGUGGGUGAAGGGAGGACCUGCACCAUCUCUGCUGGAUGCAGUUUCUAUAGCAACCUUCCAGACUUUUCUGUAUUGUCUGCCACAGGACUGAAAGGACACACGGGCCGCAACCGGAGAGGCCACAAAAACCCACCAUGUUCUGGAAGUGCCCAUGACCAGACAGACAGAGAGGAAGACAGACAGAUGGACGGACAGACAGAUGGACAGAUGGACAGACGGACGGACAGACAGGCAGACAGCUGUGAGCUCAGCCAGCCGUCACUCUGAUCAUUUCCACAUUCAACAGCUCAAUAACAUAAGAGUCUAGUUUUGAUUAUUUAAACUCGUCAAUAUGUAUAAUACAGAAUUCAUAUUUUUGUGCUUUAAGCAGCAAAUGUCACUGAAGCAGAAGUGAAACAUGUUUUUAAAUAAGCUGCAGCUCAGUGAGACAGGCAGAGGUCAGUGAUGUCAUUCAAUGAUCAAGGUUGAUCAAGAUGGGGUUCGAACCAGAUUUCGAACCACUUUCAUCUGCACCUGCUGGACCAACAUGGGAAGGACAGAUUAUAACCAAACCGAUAAGAAUAAAAGCAGCCACUGUUUGCACUGUGAAGUGUUUAAGUCCUGCUGGAUUAUUAUCUGACAGAUGGACGAUUGACGACCGAUCCAUCAGCACAGAUGGCCGCCAGAGUCUGGUCCAGACAGGCGAAGAAUGACGAGCAAAAGAUGGCGCCCCUGUGACCACGGCCCUCCUCUUCCUCAUCCUCUGAAGACACACAGCAGCUCUCACUGUGAGCUGUUGGACAGCAGAGGCUCCGAGCUAUGACACAAAUGUUGGAUCACCUGCUGUGUGUCUCCAACAUGGCCGCUGGGCCGUGUGUCUGUGCAGAGAGGUGUGUGUUCUGGGAGGGAGCGCCUCCUGCUGGUCACAGCAGGAACUUGUAAGUCCUGCCUGUACGUUGCAUAUCAUAUACGAACCAAAACAUAUUACUGCAUGCUUGGAAAGUAGAGCAUGUGAAGAGUCCGGGGAGCAGCGGCAUCAGCAGCUCGUCCACGUCCUGACACACUCUUGUUCACCGGCUAGAUCUCUAUUUUUAAACUGCCACACUCCAUGUGCUGUAUAUGGAGAGGAGAGGGUUACCCUGGUGAAUUAUUUUGUAGAUUUUGAACAUUUUUGCUAAUGUGUUCUAAUGUGUUCUGAUUUCUUUUGUCCACUUGUUUUUGCCUUGGUAAAAACAAAGCAGCUCCAGCGGGCAGCUCGGACGAAUGUCUGUGCAAAGGGUUAGGAAACGGCAGCACGCACUCCUCUGAAUGUUUCUGACUGUUUCUGGGUUUCUGAUCAGAAUGCUGUAUAUCUGUUUAUCAAUAAGACCUACCUCAGUGUCUGCUCAUUACCCACAGAAGCUUUAACACCGCGUGAGCUGAACGUCACACCUGUGACCACACAGAGGGCUUCUGUCACACACACUCCGGGCCGACAGGAAGCUUCAAACACAAACGCUGUAUGGCUGCCUUUGCACAUUUUGUUGAGUGAAUGGAUUUUCAGGGUUAACUGUUAUUUUAAAGGCAAUAACGUAUUGAGAAAAGCUUAAUCUGGU
ensembl:lncRNA